rnacentral:rRNA from 1 species
AUUGAACGCUGGCGGCAUGCUUUACACAUGCAAGUCGAACGGUAACAGCACUUCGGUGGCUGACGAGUGGCGAACGGGUGAGUAAUACAUCGGAACGUGCCUAGUAGUGGGGGAUAACUACUCGAAAGAGUAGCUAAUACCGCAUGAGAUUUAAGGAUGAAAGCAGGGGACCUUCGGGCCUUGCGCUACUAGAGCGGCUGAUGGCAGAUUAGGUAGUUGGUGGGAUAAAAGCUUACCAAGCCGACGAUCUGUAGCUGGUCUGAGAGGACGACCAGCCACACUGGGACUGAGACACGGCCCAGACUCCUACGGGAGGCAGCAGUGGGGAAUUUUGGACAAUGGGCGCAAGCCUGAUCCAGCAAUGCCGCGUGCAGGAUGAAGGCCUUCGGGUUGUAAACUGCUUUUGUACGGAACGAAAAGCCCUCUUCUAAUACAGGAGGGUCAUGACGGUACCGUAAGAAUAAGCACCGGCUAACUACGUG